ACCCCAGGGUCUCCAGGAUCACACCCCGGGCUGCAGGCGGCGCUAAACCACUGCGCCACCAGGGCUGCCCUGGCCCAGACUUUUCAUAAAAUAAUUAAAUACAUAAAACUACAGAUCAAGAAGUUCAGAGAAAAUCAUCAAAACAGAAUAGGAUAAGCACCACUCCCCCCUCCCACACACACACAUAUAAACACUCUCACUCACCUAGACACAUCAUAUUCAAACUAAUAAAAACCAAAAAUAAAGAGAAAAUCUGUAAGCAGCCAGGGGAAAAAAGACAUGUAUAUACCAAGGAAGAAAUAUAAGAAAUGCAGCAUUCUCCGUCAGAAAUCAUAUAAACCAGAAGACAAUGAAUGACAUCUUGAAAGUGCUAAUACGUAAACACUCUCAACCCAGAGAAAAUAUUUUUCAAAAAUGAAGGAGAAGUAAAGACUUAUUUUAGACAAGCAAAAACUGAGAUAAUUCAUUACCAGCGGAUCGGUGCUAUAAGUGUUAAUGGAAAUUCUUCAGGAAGAAGGAAUGUGGUGACAGGCAAUUAUGGAUCUACAAAAAGAAAUAAGGAUAUUUGGAAAUAGUUAAUGAAAGGUUCCAGAGCCUCUCACACGGAAUAUACAUUGGUUAUGCACAUAUCAGCCUUUCCAUAAGGCUAGAGAAUGUGGCCAAAUUGUGUCAGGACUCCUUGACCUGGUACUGUUAUCUCCCUUGGCGGAUGGGGCUAUGUUAAGGACAAAUGAGAUCAUGCCUGUAAACCACUUGGGAAAUGCUCAGUCCAGUCCAAAUCUCUGACUCUGUAAAAACACAGAAUCCUGGAGUCUGGUGAGGCCUGACAGCUUAAGAACAAUGCUCUUCAAGAGACACCAGCCAUGAAAAGGAACACCUUAAAAAUCCACUUGUAAACAAGAUGAUCGCUAGGUUGUUUGCAGCAAACUUGUCUCCAGAAGCCUCUGAGGGUAUUUUAUUCUUUCUGGGAACAGAGAGAUCUUCCAGCCAGGGUGACCUGAAAGGGUAUCCAGUUUGCUCAUGGUCGAUAGUCAAUACCCAUUUGUUGAAUGGAUGAAUGAAUUGAGAGCAUUUAAUGAAAUUCUGAACAGAGAGGUGGCCUGGAUACUCCAUUUUUUCAAAAUAAAGGGCUCUGCUUGCUUACAGUUAUCUGCCAGAAACAUAAGGAACGCAUAGAAGCCCAGGUGAUCUACAACCAGGAAGAAGAACACGAUGUACCCUGGUGUUGGGAGGAGAUUAUUUGUUAUAAAAAGAAGGAAGGCAGAGAGAAUAUGGGGCCACCUAAUGUGCUGUCUUAUCAACCCCUGCCUCACCUCCCCUACGUGGGUGCCCUUGCUACCUACAGCCACGGCGAGGAAGCCUUGCAGCAGCCUCAAACCUCCUCCAGCUCCAGAAGGGACAGGAAUGACCCUGGCAGGCUCAUUACACCUGUGUUCAGGUACGUUUUCAGGCAGAACCUUUGUGUCUAUGGAACUAUGGAGCCAAGAGGACCUGCCUUGGUCUCCUUAUCCCAUUACCUGCUGUCCAGUCUCAUGGGCUUGGAGAAGGAAGGUUUUGUCCUCCUGCAAAUUCCUGCUGACUUGACUUGGAUCCUGAACCCUUACUCAGUAUGGGCCAUCCCAUCCCCCAUAGAAUGAAUCUGCUUCCACUCUUGUCCCUCCAAUCUAUGCCCCACACAGCAGC